rfam:Salmo salar isolate Sally breed double haploid chromosome ssa15, whole genome shotgun sequence.
UAGCUCUGUUGGUAGAGCAUGGUGUUUGCAACACCAGGGUUGUGGGUUCAAUUCCCAC